ensembl:snRNA U2 U2 spliceosomal RNA
AUUGCUUCUCGGCCUUUUGGCUAAGAUCAAGUGUAGAAAUCCAUGAACACUAAACGACUGCAUUGACUUUUUCAGAGAGUAGAAAACAACCUAGUUUUUUUAUUUUCCUGAAUGCUUCAUAGGCUUGUGAGUGAUUUUUGUCCAUUCAGUUGUGCCUUCUUUGUAUUACGAUAAGAUGGGGGUACUUAAG